GCGGUCACGGAGGUAGGAGAUGUCUCCAGCCGGGGCUAGUAGCUGGUGGCAAAGGAGGGGACCGCCGCAGGAGCGUGUGCUGCGCUAAGGCCGGCUCUGCGUCUUCCCGCCCGCCGCGGGGACUGCACGGACCCCGGAGAGCUGGGGAGGCCGGCGGUGCUCGCAGGACGGCAGGUGCAGAGGAUGAGAAGACAGACGCGGCGUCCCGCCAUGAGUUGUGAAUAUUACAUGCAUUUAACGUUACGGAUCACCUCGCAUAAUGUGGAACCUCAAAUGGGAACGAGGCGGCUGCUCCACCCACAGUCCUAACCCCGAACUGCAUUUGAGCGGAUGCUCUAUGCAGAAACGAACGCCCAUGUGGAGACGUGCUUCCGGUGGCUGCUUUUAAGGCGAUUCGAAAUGAGUUUCAGGUUGUACAUAGCAAAGCAUCACCAGCAGCUGAGUACUGGAGCCAGGAACGUUGGCCUUCUGUGAGGUUUUGAGAACUGUGUUGAAGUGCAGUUAGAGCUGGUGGCAUCAGCAGCUCAACCCAAAAGGAGGCUAUAUCACCAGAAGAUGGUCAGUCUGAAGGACCAGUUGCUGCCAUCAGUUUGGAUUCUGAAAAUGUAAAAGGCUUCAAUAUUUUGUGCAGAAAUGUCUUGUAUCAGGGAGGCCAUUAACACAGCCAAGAGAUGUGUCUGCAACCUUCUUCUGGGACAGUCUUGAGUUUUCUAGCAUUGUCCCUUGCUAACCUGUCCAACAGGAACGUCUAUACCUCUUUAUAAAUUUGCUUUUUAUUAAAUAGGUUGUAAUAUUGGGGGGUGAGUUCUUGAAGCUGGAAACUUAAUUUCUUGUGAAAAUGUCUUCAUGCAGUUACCAUGAGCUAAUACUGUAAUAAAGAAUGGUCUUUG